rnacentral:rRNA from 1 species
UACGGAGGGUGCAAGCGUUGUUCGGAAUUAUUGGGCGUAAAGCGCGCGCAGGCGGCCUUUUAAGUCUGAUGUGAAAACCCUCGGCUCAACCGAGGACGUGCAUUGGAUACUGGGAGGCUUGAGUCUCGGAGAGGGAAGCGGAAUUCCCAGUGUAGAGGUGAAAUUCGUAGAUAUUGGGAGGAACACCGGUGGCGAAGGCGGCUUCCUGGACGAUGACUGACGCUGAGGCGCGAAAGCGUGGGUAGCAAACAGG